GGCACCACCUCCCUUCCCGAAGCGAUGGAGUUCUGAUUGAUGUGAGCUCUUUGCUGCCGCCACCACCUGCCGGGCCCUCGGUGGGAGGGGGAGACUCAGUCACUCCCCUACGGGGUGGAAGCCCAUUCCUCUUUAUCUUCAUCCCCUCCCAACCUCCUGAGAGAGGGAUGCCUGUUCUGCCAAAUAUCAGACCUCUCGGCCAAGGCCACUGAGGUAGAGAUUGGAGGAUGCGCAAGUGCUUACUCCGAAGAUGGAGAAAGGAGACGACAGCGAAGGAACACAGGCUGCUUCUAGAAGCUGGAAAGGGACACGGACUUUUCCCUGUCCAAAGGGAAUGCACCCUGCCGACCACUGACGCCUUCUUCUGAUUUUAGCCCGAUGACAGCCAUGUCAGACUUCUGUCCUCCAGAAUGGUAAGGGAAUAACUUUGUGUUGUUUACGCUGUGAUUUGUUACAGCAGCGACAGGAAAGACAUGCUGCCCCUCGGUAGAGUCCACGCUGGGCCCUGGGCCCCUCCAACACUCCACGGAAGCCACAGUCCCCAUCCUCACACGUGCAGCCCUUGGCCUCCUCGCUGUGGACCUUGGGCAAGUCACGGGCUUCCCUGAGCCUCGGUUUCCUUUUGCCACAUAUCCUAUGACGAUAACGCCCAUCUUGCUGUUUGUGCAGACGACCUAAGGAAAUGCCCAGGCGGGCGGCAACCCGGCAUGUGCCCCUUACGCCUCUUCGGCCCUUUUCCAUGACAAGCGACAAGGUUUGGGCUUCUCCAGGCUUCUUCCUAACCUCACCGUAAACUGGUGGAAACCUUGCAAACUUGGGACCUUCCAAAGCCCAGAGAAGGAGAAGAAGGUGUUGCAGAUUUCCAUAGCAGCAGCCCGGCGGGGACGCACCUGCCACGACGCCGACCUGCCGAGUGUCACUUCUGACAAGGGAUCUUCGGGGACUCCCAUCUCCUAGCUGGUCACCUUGCGUCCCCAAAGCAUCCGUACCUCCAGCUGCUUGUCCCGCCUGACGUUCUUUUGGUAUAUAUUUCAACAGACUUCUCGGUUUCCUCAAAGGCAGAGUUGCUUGUGAGCUUUCUUUGUUGGGCCGGAACAUCACUGGGACUUCCCUCUUCACCCACAGGCCUGGCGGUAAAAAUAAAACCCGCCACGACUCCUCCAGGUUUCUUAUUCAAACAAAGAGCUGGGGAGUCUUGCCCUCUCAGUUAACCCGCACGGGUUCAGGAGGGCCUGGCUCCUAGUCACGACUCAACAGCCGGAGCUACUUGGAUAGGAUUGUUGCCAGGACUCUUCCUGUCAUUAGCUAAGCCCUUUCCCAGCGUGUAACUCAACUGAGCGUCCCCCAGCCCCAGCCUGGAGAGGAAGGUGGCAAAGAGGUGUCAAUCGAUCGGCCCCUGGCAGGCCCGGAGGGGGCAGUGGCUGGUGCACGCGGCUGGUCAGCGGCCGAACCAGAAUGUGUCCCCCUGCCUGGGGACAGCUGCUUAGGAGGCACGUGAGUGGCGCGGCCCAGGGUAGUUCCGGGGCUCUCUUCCCCAGGGGGCUCCCGCGUGCCCUCUGCAGCUCACCCGGGGCCAAGGGACAAGCUUCCUACCCGACCACCAGCCUAUAAUUCCCCCCUGGCUGCCCUCACCACCCCACUCCCACCUUUGAGAUUUGGAGCUGGGACCUGCAGGGCCAAGGCCGGUGGCCUGGAGAAUGUGAGAAAACACGCAGUACUCUUUCCCCUCUCUUUCCACCCAAACCGGCCUGCUGGCCAGGGGCCCGGGGCCUGCACACGCAGCCUCGGGGUACCCCCCCCCACACACACCCCUGCCCUGCAGAAGGGAGCCAGACCUCGACCUCAGAGGGUCAUCCUGGCAAGGACCGCACACAAGCCCGUGACCAGGCGGUCGUCCCGUGGACAGGCGGAGCCCCUGAGGUGGUCUGGCCAACACGGAGCGGAGGAGGCUGCUCUCAGCCAAGGAGAUCAAAGGUCACUGACUGCACCCAGGGGCAUAAUCAACACCCUGUACUGCUCUGUCACUGCUGCCGUGGGCUCUGCUGGGCUGCGGGCCCCGAGGUGAUGGCACCACAGUCAGAAAAGUCACCGGAUGUAAACAGUAUGAAGGGCCACGCCAGUGCCCUCCAGCUGAAUACGAGCACCUCCCUCCACGCAGCUGUUAACCACACCCUUGGAAAGAACCUCCUGGAUCCAGGUCCCUACAAAGUUGGUGCUAACGUGCACACCUGCCAUUGAGACCACAGUUAAGAAUGAUCUCACUGGGGCAUUUCCCCCAGGUAGGGGAUUUUUAGGUAACCAAAUAAAAACAACAACAACCAAACAACAAAAGCGACAGGCCCUGGAAGAGGCUUAAAGAAAAAGAAAGGCAGAGAACUACUAUUUCGGGUUCUGGUCAAUGUACUAUUAAGGGACUUCUGGGAAAUCUAUGGUUACCCUGAUCAUAAAGGGACAGGUUCCACAAAUGCCUGCCCUUCUACCCUUUGUCCGAACUCCCCUAUCGCCGCCAGGAAUGCAGGCACAAUGCAUGGGGGAGCAGCAGCUAUUUUGGAAGCAUGAAGACAAGAGCCAUACCCUAAGAAUACUGGCGGAGAGAGACAGAGCCCGGAGUCCUGAGCGCAUCACAAAGCCUCUGCACCGGGCCCGGAGCCCUCUUGCUCUGGACACCUUGUGACAUGAGAAACAGAAACCCUGCCCAGGUCUUUUUCAUUUGAUAUCCGUGAAUAUCCAUUCAACAAGAGGCUUGUGUUAGGUGCUCCGGAACGCAGCAGGGGACGAGACAGACAUGGUCCCUGCUCUCACGGGGUGAACGUUCUGGGGGGGACGGGGGGAACAAACAAGGACCGGCAGAAACAAGGCCAUUUCAGCAAGUAAACACUUCGCUCUGCGGCCUGCACCGGCCUGGCUUCCCGUCUUAACUGGAGAACAGACUCGCCGUGGGACCUAGAAUGGUCAUCUCUCAAUCCACCCCGACUCCCUGUCUGUAACACCAAGGAGGCAUCCCAUGCCACACUGUCUGAGGCCUGGCGCCCCUUGGCCAGGCCCCGGGGCCAGGCAGGUCAUCUACUCAGAGCAGCUGUACCCGGCGCCUGGACACCCUCCAGCCUGACUGCGUGGCCUCAGAUUCCUUGGCACUGACUAAAGAGCCGGGGGGCCCCGGUCGGCAGGCCCAAGCCUCCUGACUGCAGCCCUUUAAGGAAGGGCCGCCAAUAAAUCUCAAGCAACUGCUGAAAGCUCGGUCCCCAGCCGGCUGCGGGCUGAAGAGGCCAACUGCGGCCGAGGCUUCUCCCUGCCAGCACUGGGCACGGCCCUGGGCAGGUGGGCAAGCCGGGCGGCGAUGAGGCAGCCCCACUGGACUCUGCUGUUGCCCCAGGGGCCACCGCCCCUGCUCUGCUCACCCCCCCCCCAGCGGCCGCUAGCCACCUGCCCGGGUCAGCUACUGAACCUCACCACCCCCAACACAGCCCUGCAUGUAUAUGUAUAUAUACAUAUAUGUGGAGUGAUAUAUA